GACGAACGCUGGCGGCGUGCUUAACACAUGCAAGUCGAACGGAAAGGCCUCUUUCGGGGGGUACUCGAGUGGCGAACGGGUGAGUAACACGUGAGUAACCUGCCCUUGACUUUGGGAUAACUUCAGGAAACUGGGGCUAAUACCGGAUAGGAGCUCCUGCUGCAUGGUGGGGGUUGGUAAGUUUCGGCGGUUGGGGAUGGACUCGCGGCUUAUCAGCUUGUUGGUGGGGUAGUGGCUUACCAAGGCUUUGACGGGUAGCCGGCCUGAGAGGGUGACCGGCCACAUUGGGACUGGGAUACGGCCCAGACUCCUACGGGAGGCAGCAGUGGGGAAUAUUGCACAAUGGGUGGAAGCCUGAUGCAGCAACGCCGUGUGCGGGAUGACGGCCUUCGGGUUGUAAACCGCUUUCGCUCAUGACGAAGCUUUGUGUGACGGUAGUGGGUAAAGAAGCACCGGCUAACUACGUG
rnacentral:rRNA from 1 species